rnacentral:rRNA from 1 species
UUGAACGCUGGCGGCAGGCCUAACACAUGCAAGUCGAACGGUAACAGGAAACAGCUUGCUGUUUCGCUGACGAGUGGCGGACGGGUGAGUAAUGUCUGGGAAACUGCCUGAUGGAGGGGGAUAACUACUGGAAACGGUAGCUAAUACCGCAUAACGUCGCAAGACCAAAGAGGGGGACCUUCGGGCCUCUUGCCAUCGGAUGUGCCCAGAUGGGAUUAGCUAGUAGGUGGGGUAACGGCUCACCUAGGCGACGAUCCCUAGCUGGUCUGAGAGGAUGACCAGCCACACUGGAACUGAGACACGGUCCAGACUCCUACGGGAGGCAGCAGUGGGGAAUAUUGCACAAUGGGCGCAAGCCUGAUGCAGCCAUGCCGCGUGUAUGAAGAAGGCCUUCGGGCUGUAAAGUACUUUCAGCGGGGAUGAAGGGAGUAAAGUUAAUACCUUUGCUCAUUGACGUUACCCGCAGAAGAAGCACCGGCUAACUCCGUG